GGGAAACGAUGUGGGAAGGCCCAGACAGCCAGGAUGUUGGCUUAGAAGCAGCCAUCAUUUAAAGAAAGCGUAAUAGCUCACUGGUCGAGUCGGCCUGCGCGGAAGAUGUAACGGGGCUAAACCAUGCACCGAAGCUGCGGCAGCGAACGUAUCACCCAAGACAACUUUACGGAGUUGACGAUUGACGGAGCGAAGCGACGUCAAAGCGUUCAUUAAAGUCGAGUUGGCUUAGGGAUACGUUCGUUGGGUAGGGGAGCGUUCUGUAAGCCUGUGAAGGUGUGUCGUGAGGCAUGCUGGAGGUAUCAGAAGUGCGAAUGCUGACAUAAGUAACGAUAAAGCGGGUGAAAAGCCCGCUCGCCGGAAGACCAAGGGUUCCUGUCCAACGUUAAUCGGGGCAGGGUGAGUCGACCCCUAAGGCGAGGCCGAAAGGCGUAGUCGAUGGGAAACGGGUUAAUAUUCCCGUACUUGGUGUUACUGCGAAGGGGGGACGGAGAAGGCUAUGUUGGCCGGGCGACGGUUGUCCCGGUUUAAGCGUGUAGGUGUGUGUUCCAGGUAAAUCCGGUUCACUUUAACACUGAGGCGUGACGACGAGGCACUACGGUGCUGAAGCAACAAAUGCCCUGCUUCCAGGAAAAGCCUCUAAGCAUCAGGUAACAUCAAAUCGUACCCCAAACCGACACAGGUGGUCAGGUAGAGAAUACCAAGGCGCUUGAGAGAACUCGGGUGAAGGAACUAGGCAAAAUGGUGCCGUAACUUCGGGAGAAGGCACGCUGACACGUAGGUGAAGUGAUUUACUCAUGGAGCUGAAGUCAGUCGAAGAUACCAGCUGGCUGCAACUGUUUAUUAAAAACACAGCACUGUGCAAACACGAAAGUGGACGUAUACGGUGUGACGCCUGCCCGGUGCCGGAAGGUUAAUUGAUGGGGUCAGCGCAAGCGAAGCUCCUGAUCGAAGCCCCGGUAAACGGCGGCCGUAACUAUAACGGUCCUAAGGUAGCGAAAUUCCUUGUCGGGUAAGUUCCGACCUGCACGAAUGGCGUAAUGAUGGCCAGGCUGUCUCCACCCGAGACUCAGUGAAAUUGAACUCGCUGUGAAGAUGCAGUGUACCCGCGGCAAGACGGAAAGACCCCGUGAACCUUUACUAUAGCUUGACACUGAACAUUGAGCCUUGAUGUGUAGGAUAGGUGGGAGGCUUUGAAGUGUGGACGCCAGUCUGCAUGGAGCCGACCUUGAAAUACCACCCUUUAAUGUUUGAUGUUCUAACGUGGACCCGUAAUCCGGGUUGCGGACAGUGUCUGGUGGGUAGUUUGACUGGGGCGGUCUCCUCCUAAAGAGUAACGGAGGAGCACGAAGGUUGGCUAAUCCUGGUCGGACAUCAGGAGGUUAGUGCAAUGGCAUAAGCCAGCUUGACUGCGAGCGUGACGGCGCGAGCAGGUGCGAAAG
rnacentral:rRNA from 1 species